GUUGCAAUCCUUCAAGUAAAAGGAGAUCAGUUUGAUGCCAUUUUGAGCUCACUGUGCAUUGGAGCAUAAAAGGAAGAGGUGGGUGGGAGCAAAGCUGAGCCAGGAGCCGACUGGAAUGAGACCCGGCAGGAGGCGAAUGGAGCAGUUAGACAGAUGGGUGGAUGAAAAGACUGGGGCACACAGAAAGAUGUUCAAUGAUGACGCAGCUAAGGAGGGGAAAAGUAUUUCUCCAUGCUGAUGGGAGUCUUAAAAUGCUGUUUCUCGCCAUUAAGAGACAAUACUUCAAACAUUGUAACUCCAGGAGAAGGAAAUCAUUUUCAGCCCACUUUUACAAAAGAAGAAACUGAGGCUCAGAUGGUUUAAGUGACUUUCCCAAGUGUACCCAGAUAACAGCAGAGUUAGAAUCAAACUACCAUCUUCUGAGUCCAUAAAUUUCUCAGGAAUAUAGUCUAUGUUUAAUUUUAUUAAAUUAAUUGUAAACAGUAUGAAUUCCUUGAGAAGAGGUCUAAAGUUUGUUUUGUACAUACCAAAGAAUUAUAAUAGUAACGAUAACAACAACAAGAACAUAGCUAACAUGUAUUGACUGCUUACAACUUACAGACACUGUUCUAAGGGUUUAUAUGUAUUUACCUAUUUGGUCUUCACAAUAACUCUAUGAAAAAGGUGCCAUUAUUAUGCUUAUUUUAUACAUGAGAAAAAUGAAGUGCUGAAAGGUGAAGUAACUUAUCUAAGGCCACGCAGUAACAGUAAAGCUGAGGUCUAGCCAUUAUCAUCUUCUAUUAAAACAGCUUUGUCCUUGAUAUAGUAUAAGUAUGCACUUAAAUUGAGAGAAAUCGCAGUUAACUCCAAAUGUCAAUCUGGAAACUUUAGACCAGUCUCUGAAGCCAGUUAGCUGUGUUUUUUGGCAAAGCACUAAGCCUGCUUUGUUAUCUGCUUCUUUCCCAUGAAAUGAUGCUAAAUGGGAUCAUGCCCUAGCUGCCUCUGAGUUCUAAAAGUUCUAGGGUGAAAAUCUGCACCUGAUCUUCACAGCACUGCAGUGGAAGACCAUGAAAGAAGAAGUCAGGCUGGAAAAUUCAGCAUACCUAUUAGGAAAAUUAUGAGUCAAGAGAAGAAUUAAGCCUCAAAAAUGAAAUAUUUAUACAUUCUGCAAUUCUUUUAGUGCCCCAUAUUUAUCCUGAUAUAACUGCCUGCAGCCAUUCAGGGCAAACCACUUUUAAGGAUAUAUUUGUGAUCCUUUAUUUUAACCCUGAAUAACUCUAGAACUUUGAAGAUGGGACUCAGACCAGACAGCAGGUCACAAUGAUCAAGUCUCACAUGGAAGCGGGAGAGAAAGAGAGACACUGUGGAGGGCCAAGUGACUCUCAGGUACAUUGGGCGCACUGGCUCCAAUGCAACCUACCCCAGUGUCAAUAGCUGAGGAUCAUUUGAGGGUAGCUUCUCCAAGUCUGCUUUUCCACAUUGGCUUUCGGUACUAAAUUGCUUUGAUUUUCAUCUUUCCUUUCAACUCCUCUGUUUCUUGUUUUGAUUUCUCUUUUCUGAUUUCUCAGUUUCUUAAUCUCAUUUUUAAACACGAGAAUCCUCCAAGGUCUAGUUCUCGACCCUUUGUCCUUCAUUUGCUUGACCGUCCCUUGGGAAACUUGCACAAUCUAAACGACUAACUAGAAUGUAUGAGAUUAUGAAUGAGAUCUCUGCCUGCCUAGUAGUACAUUUCAUUGAGAUGUCCCAGCAUUGUGGCAACUUAAGAAGGUAUAAAAUCUGAAACAAUACAUGAUCCCUAAGCCAGUGUUGUGUCUGGAAUGCCCUGUAUAGCUCUGCAAUUUAUCUUUUACUUCUUCCUCUUCCUUCCACAACAUAGUCCUUUCAUUUCUUCUUUUUAGAAUAUAUGUGGAUGGGCGAAACAGCAAAUGCAUUACUUUUUAUGCUGUGUUCUAUUCUUGACCUAAAUAAUUAUUUCCAAAUCUUUUGAAUGAAGAAGUUUGAAGAGAGAACUGAUCUAAUUUCAGCCCCAAAUCCGGAAAAGAUAAAAUUUUAAAAAAUAUUAAAUGACGAAAGAGAACAGUUGGAAGAGCAGUUUGUACGGCCUCUCCUGAGUUCUCUGCCUCUUGUAGAUCUGCACUGACAGUCACAUGUAAGGGGGAAGAAUACAUGUGCUAUUAGUCAAAAGAUACUUUUGGAAGAUAUUGACUAUAUAUAUACUUUUUUCCCUCUCUCUCUUUCUUUGGUUGGAUUACCCUAACUAUUGCUUUGUGUGUUUUCAAGGGAUACCAUGACUGUUGAAUAACAUUGAAGCUUAAGUGAUGGACAUGAACUGACUUUUAUAAAAUAUAGUUUGAAUAGUGCUCACUGUCUCAGUUUUUGUUGAAGUGCUGACAUCAGAUUGAGCUCUGAACCCUGAGACUCCUGGGGGCAUUUUAGAGCUGAAAACACACUAUUUGAUGGGAAUCAGGUAUUGACAGGCCACAAGUAAGCUUGAUGAGCUUUUUUUAAAAAAAAACAUUGGCACCUGAGCUAACAUCUGUUGCCAAUCUCUUUCUUUUUCCUUUUCUUCUUCUUCUCCCCAAAGACCCCCAGUACCUACUUGUAUGUAGUUGUGGCCCUGCUGGUUGUGCUAUGUGGGACGCCACCUCAGCAUGGCCUGAUGAGCAGUGCUAUGUCCGCGCCCAGGAUGCGAACCAGUGAAACCCUGGGCUGCUGAAGCAGAGGGUGCGAACUUAAUCACUUGGCCAUGGGGCAGACCCUGAUGACUUUUUUUAAAAAGUACUAAAUUCUUUGAGUUUCAUUGUCCUCAUCUUCAGAGUGGGGCAUUGGGCAAAACAAUUCCUCACAUACUUACCAGUUCUAGGAUGACGUCCUUCUCAAUCUUGUUCUCAGACUGGUCUUGCUCAGAUAGAGCAGUGAAUGAAUAAGAAUAAAAGAAGUAAAAAUAGAUUGGGAAAGCA
rnacentral:lncRNA from 1 species